AGCCCAUGAAAAGGGCAUAGUCUUACCAAAUCCUUAUAAUGCUCCCACACAUCAAACAAUGAUUUCCCCUCUUCUUAUCUAAAUUUAUUAAUAUCAUUCCUAAUUUAGGUU